CACUGAGGCCCCACUGGGCGCUCCCUGGGCUGGGCCACAGCUCUGCUUCCAGCUCACCAGGCUCUCACCUUCUUGAAAAGCUGGUUUCUUCCUUUUGGGAGGGGCUGGCUCUGCUCUUUAUGAGAAUUUCAAGGUUGCUGCGGCCCUGCCCAUUUGGGAACACCUCUCCCGGGACUCGGUGUCCUUGGGGAGGAUUUCCGGGGCUCAGCUGCCUCCCGGGACGGACAGGAGACCCGGCCGCACCAUGCGGGCUCUGGUCCUCUGCAGCCUGCUCUGCACGCUGCUCCUCUGCUUCUCCGUCUUCUCCAUGGAAGGAAGAAGGCACCCCCGGCCUCCUGCCAAGCCCUGGAAAGGCAAGCUCUGCUGUUCCCAAGUUCCGGAUCCUGUCCUGAGGACCCAGAAAGGGGACUGCGGACUCACCUUCUCAGUCAGCCACCUGCUCCCCCUGCUGGCCACCUCGCUCCUCGCUGGGGUCGGUGUAACAGUUGAAGCUGCCUCACCAGCCACGGGCCACGGUGGAGCCAGGGGGGCGGCCUGGAGUGCCCUCCACGUGCCUGCUGUUUCUUGGGAGGAAGUGUGAGCGGGCCCAGGACGGCGGGGACACCGUGUGAGGAUCUGCAAACCAUGCAAGGUCAAGCCAGAGUCCCCCUUCUGGGUGGUGCCCGGGGCGCUCCCACAGAUUUAGUGUCCCCCAGCAAGGCUCAGUUCCUGAGGCACCCCCGGGUCCCCUCUGGAGCUGGGACUGAGGCACAGGCCCUGGGAGCCUCUGCUCCCAGCCACUGGUCUCCUUAAAGACACAGCAUUCCCCACGCCACGUUGGAUUGUUCUUGUCCUGCCUUUCAGAAAAGCAACAAUAAAGAAAGAAGAGCUUGGAAUG